GCUUUUGGAGGGGGGUGCGUCCUAUCAGGUAGUUGGUGUGGUAAUAGCUCACCAAGCCUAUGACGGGUAGCCGGUCUGAGAGGAUGUCCGGCCGCAAUGGAACUGAGACACGGUCCAUACUCCUACGGGAGGCAGCAGUGGGGAAUCUUGCGCAAUGGGCGAAAGCCUGACGCAGCAAUCCCGCGUGAAGGAUGAAGCAUUAUGGUGUGUAAACUUCUUUUCUGGUGGAAGACGAAUGACGGUACACCAGGAAUAAGGGACGGCUAACUACGUACCAGCAGCCGCGGUAAUACGUAGGUCCCAAGUGUUAUCCGGAAUUACUGGGCGUAAAGAGUCUGUAGCCGGGUUUGUAAGUCUGUUUUCAAAUCCUAUGGCUUAACCAUAGAGAGGGAAUGGAUACUGCAAACCUUGAGAUUAUUGGGGGUUGAUGGAAUUUCCGGUGGAGCGGUGAAAUGCGUUGAUAUCGGAAGGAACGCCAAAAGUGAAAGCAGUCAACUACAAUAAAUCUGACGGUCAGAGACGAAAGCUUGGGGAGCAAACGGGAUUAGAUACCCCGGUAGUCCAAGCCGUAAAUUAUGCAUGCUAGGUGUCUUGUUCACUUUAUGUGAGCGGGGUGCCGUAAUCUAACGAGUUAAGCAUGCCGCCUGGGUAGUAUAUUCGCAAGAAUGAAACUCAAAGGGAUAGGCGGGGGAACACACAAGCAGUGGAUUGUCUCGAUUAAUUGGAUAAUAAGCCAAGAAUCUUACCUAGACUUGACAUAUAUUGUGUCCUACGUGAAAGUGUAGUAAUCCCGAUUUUGUCGGGAUACGAUAUACAGGUGGUGCAUGGUCGUCGUCAGCUCGUGCCGCAAGAUGUCCAGUUAAGUCUGGGAACGAGCGCAACCCU
rnacentral:rRNA from 1 species